rnacentral:misc_RNA from 1 species
GCAAACUUGGUCAUUUAGAGGAAGUAAAAGUCGUAACAAGGUCUCCGUUGGUGAACCAGCGGAGGGAUCAUUACCGAGUUUACAACUCCCAAACCCCAAUGUGAACGCUACCUUUACCGUUGCUUCGGCGGGAUCGCCCCGGGUGCGGCCGAGAGGCCCAGCCCCGGACCCAGCGUGCGCCCGCCGGAGGACCACAAACUCCAUGUUUCUUGAGAAGUCUUUGUGAGCGGCUCCCAGCGAGCAAAAAAAAAAAAUGAAUCAAAACUUUCAACAACGGAUCUCUUGGUUCUGGCAUCGAUGAAGAACGCAGC